GGGGAUGUAGCUCAGUGGUGGAGUGCAUGCUUAGCAUGCAUGAGGUCCUGGGUUCAAUCCCCAGCACC
rnacentral:tRNA from 1 species